GAUGAACGCUGGCGGCGUGCUUAACACAUGCAAGUCGAACGAACCUUCGGGUUAGUGGCGGACGGGUGAGUAACGCGUGAGAAUCUGCCCUCAGGAGGGGGAUAACGGUUGGAAACGACCGCUAAUACCCCAUGUGCCUAUUGGUGAAAUGAAUUUCGCCUGAGGAUGAGCUCGCGUCUGAUUAGCUAGUUGGUGAGGUAAUGGCUCACCAAGGCUUCGAUCAGUAGCUGGUCUGAGAGGAUGAUCAGCCACACUGGGACUGAGACACGGCCCAGACUCCUACGGGAGGCAGCAGUGGGGAAUUUUCCGCAAUGGGCGAAAGCCUGACGGAGCAACGCCGCGUGAGGGACGAAGGCCUCUGGGCUGUAAACCUCUUUUCUCAAGGAAGAAGAUAUGACGGUACUUGAGGAAUAAGCCACGGCUAAUUCCGUGCCAGCAGCCGCGGUAAUACGGGAGUGGCAAGCGUUAUCCGGAAUUAUUGGGCGUAAAGCGUCCGCAGGCGGCUUUUCAAGUCUGCUGUUAAGGCGUGGAGCUUAACUCCAUCAUGGCAGUGGAAACUGAAAGGCUUGAGUAUGGUAGGGGCAGAGGGAAUUCCCGGUGUAGCGGUGAAAUGCGUAGAUAUCGGGAAGAACACCAGUGGCGAAGGCGCUCUGCUGGGCCAUUACUGACGCUCAUGGACGAAAGCCAGGGGAGCGAAAGGGAUUAGAUACCCCUGUAGUCCUGGCCGUAAACGAUGAACACUAGGUGUCGGGGGAAUCGACCCCUUCGGUGUCGUAGCUAACGCGUUAAGUGUUCCGCCUGGGGAGUACGCACGCAAGUGUGAAACUCAAAGGAAUUGACGGGGGCCCGCACAAGCGGUGGAGUAUGUGGUUUAAUUCGAUGCAACGCGAAGAACCUUACCAGGGUUUGACAUCCUGCGAACCUCUUAGAAAUUUGAGGGUGCCUUCGGGAAUGCAGUGACAGGUGGUGCAUGGCUGUCGUCAGCUCGUGUCGUGAGAUGUUGGGUUAAGUCCCGCAACGAGCGCAACCCACGUUUUUAGUUGCCAGCAUUUAGUUGGGCACUCUAGAAAGACCGCCGGUGAUAAACCGGAGGAAGGUGUGGAUGACGUCAAGUCAUCAUGCCCCUUACACCCUGGGCUACACACGUACUACAAUGCUACGGACAAAGGGCAGCAAACUCGCGAGAGCUAGCAAAUCCCAUAAACCGUGGCUCAGUUCAGAUCGUAGGCUGCAACUCGCCUACGUGAAGUAGGAAUCGCUAGUAAUCGCAGGUCAGCAUACUGCGGUGAAUACGUUCCCGGGCCUUGUACACACCGCCCGUCACACCAUGGAAGUUGGCCAUGCCCGAAGUCGUUACUCCAACCCUUGUGGAGGAGGACGCCGAAGGUGGGGCUAAUGACUGGGGUG
rnacentral:rRNA from 1 species